rnacentral:misc_RNA from 1 species
CAUAGUUGUAACUUCACAUUGCAUGGAAAAUGGAUAUUGAAUCUGAUUCUAUAUUUGUCGACUUGCUUGGCAACUCAACUGAGUAAUUACUUGGCCCUAUGUAAGCCUUACGGCUUCACAGGAGUUGUGGUUGGAUCCACCAGUUUUAAUUCUCUCCUCCGUUUUCUGUUUUCUGCUUUCUUCUCUCUGUUCAAAAAUUUUUGAUUCCUCCAUUCUAUGAUGGAGCUUUAUGAUCAUUAAUAACAUUGCAAAAUGAAUACCAAUAGAUCUAACUUCUCAGGUUCCCUUUGAGAAAUUCAUAAUUAGCUUGCUUGUCUCUUGAAGAAAGGUUUCUGGCAGAUAAGAAGCCUCUCAUCACUGUUGCUUUCGAUUUCUAUAACUCGUGCAUCCCACUUCAGCCGUGUAGUUAGAGCUCUUGCUGAUUCAAUGAGAGAAGCCGUGUCAUGUAUUAUCACCCAACCCUCUGGGCGAAGCACUCGAUCAACCUCAGUGAAUAUGUCCAGCAUGGUGCACAUACGGUGGUGACCAGUUUCAAGGGAUAAAAGCCCUGCUGCAUGGACUAAAUCAUAAGUUCUAGGGUACGUUGGGAAUGCUUCACACCAGUCGUGCAACACUCCAACAAAGCCCCUAUCAAGAAUUAAGGGCAGGUAGUUAGGUCCAGUGGUUGGCACAACAUUCAUAACCCACACAGACUUGCCAGCUUCCAAUAGUGCAGAAUUAAAACCACCAAAAUGAGC